ACAAUGAAGAGUUUGAUCCUGGCUCAGGAUGAACGCUAGCUACAGGCUUAACACAUGCAAGUCGAGGGGCAGCAUUUUAGUUUGCUUGCAAACUAAAGAUGGCGACCGGCGCACGGGUGAGUAACACGUAUCCAACCUGCCGAUAACUCGGGGAUAGCCUUUCGAAAGAAAGAUUAAUAUCCGAUAGUAUAUUAAAACCGCAUGGUUUUACUAUUAAAGAAUUUCGGUUAUCGAUGGGGAUGCGUUCCAUUAGUUUGUUGGCGGGGUAACGGCCCACCAAGACUACGAUGGAUAGGGGUUCUGAGAGGAAGGUCCCCCACAUUGGAACUGAGACACGGUCCAAACUCCUACGGGAGGCAGCAGUGAGGAAUAUUGGUCAAUGGACGAGAGUCUGAACCAGCCAAGUAGCGUGAAGGAUGACUGCCCUAUGGGUUGUAAACUUCUUUUAUAUGGGAAUAAAGUAUUCCACGUGUGGGAUUUUGUAUGUACCAUAUGAAUAAGGAUCGGCUAACUCCGUGCCAGCAGCCGCGGUAAUACGGAGGAUCCGAGCGUUAUCCGGAUUUAUUGGGUUUAAAGGGAGCGUAGGUGGAUUGUUAAGUCAGUUGUGAAAGUUUGCGGCUCAACCGUAAAAUUGCAGUUGAAACUGGCAGUCUUGAGUACAGUAGAGGUGGGCGGAAUUCGUGGUGUAGCGGUGAAAUGCUUAGAUAUCACGAAGAACUCCGAUUGCGAAGGCAGCUCACUAGACUGCAACUGACACUGAUGCUCGAAAGUGUGGGUAUCAAACAGGAUUAGAUACCCUGGUAGUCCACACAGUAAACGAUGAAUACUCGCUGUUUGCGAUAUACAGUAAGCGGCCAAGCGAAAGCAUUAAGUAUUCCACCUGGGGAGUACGCCGGCAACGGUGAAACUCAAAGGAAUUGACGGGGGCCCGCACAAGCGGAGGAACAUGUGGUUUAAUUCGAUGAUACGCGAGGAACCUUACCCGGGCUUAAAUUGCAUUUGAAUAAUCUGGAAACAGGUUAGCCGCAAGGCAAAUGUGAAGGUGCUGCAUGGUUGUCGUCAGCUCGUGCCGUGAGGUGUCGGCUUAAGUGCCAUAACGAGCGCAACCCUUAUCUUUAGUUACUAACAGGUUAUGCUGAGGACUCUAGAGAGACUGCCGUCGUAAGAUGUGAGGAAGGUGGGGAUGACGUCAAAUCAGCACGGCCCUUACGUCCGGGGCUACACACGUGUUACAAUGGGGGGUACAGAAGGCAGCUACCUGGCGACAGGAUGCUAAUCCCAAAAACCUCUCUCAGUUCGGAUCGAAGUCUGCAACCCGACUUCGUGAAGCUGGAUUCGCUAGUAAUCGCGCAUCAGCCAUGGCGCGGUGAAUACGUUCCCGGGCCUUGUACACACCGCCCGUCAAGCCAUGAAAGCCGGGGGUACCUGAAGUACGUAACCGCAAGGAGCGUCCUAGGGUAAAACUGGUAAUUGGGGCUAAGUCGUAACAAGGUAGCCGUACCGGAAGGUGCGGCUGGAACACCUCCUUU
rnacentral:rRNA from 1 species